rnacentral:lncRNA from 1 species
UAAGUAUUCUAUUAAAUUAAUUAGAUUUUUCAUUAUAAUACGGCUCAUGCCAUAUGUAAAUUUUUUAAUCAGGUAAUAUAUAAGUUGCUUGGUGAUGUUUGUCUGGUUUUACAGUGUAGGUUAUCUAUUCCACUGGUAGACACCAUCUUGACAGAUUCUGCCAUGCAUGGGAGGCAGAAAUGGAACCAACACCCUUGGCAGCAGGGCUGGACCAAACUCAUGGUGGAAGUGGGGAAGGAGGUAAAAGGCAUGGAGUCUGAAGGACAGUGUGAGGGUAGAAGGUGUUGCAUUUAAUUGGGUAAAAUAGCUCCAGAGCUCUACUGUUACACAAGGCUGACUAUAUGCAAAGCACUGCCUAUUAAUCACCGCACAAAAUGUCAGCGACAUCUUUGGGAGGAGCUCACUGUAUCGUCCAUAUACGCACAACAACUUUUCAAGGUUUUUUUUUUUCACCUUAAAAAAAUAUAUAAAAAACAACAAAAAAAAAAGCUUUCCUGACUGACAAAUUCCCUGUAAUUACGCUCAACUCCAAGUCAACUGCCAUACCCUGCCAUCACCGGCAUCUAAAAGGAGCUACUGUUUAUAAAGGCAGCUAGAAUGUCAAAAAGGCAAGCUGGCAACGUAUCUGACUGCACGAAAUGUGGCAUUUCUCACCUGUAGAUAGAAAUAAAGGAAAAAAAAAUAACCA